GACGGAGGAUGCAAGCGUUAUUCGUAAUUAUUGGGCGUAAAGCGUUCGCAGGUGGCUGUUCAAGUCUGCUGUCAAAGACCGGGGCUUAACCCCAGAAAGGCAGUGGAAACUGAACGGCUGGAGUGCAGUAUGGGUAGAGGGAAUUCCCAGUGUAGCGGUGAAAUGCGUAGAGAUUGGGAAGAACACCGGUGGCGAAACCGCUCUGCUGGACUGCAACUGACACUGAGGGACGAAAGCUAGGGGAGCGAAAGGG
rnacentral:rRNA from 1 species